CGAAGAUGAAAUAUUUGAUGCAACAACUGACUUCAGGCCCCUUGUAGUGCUUCCCGGACAUCCUCUGCGCUCAUGAAGACACUUUGCUCGCGGCCAGGAUGAAAACCGAGGAGGGUAGUCCUGCUUGCCCUGUGCAUUGUAUCAGCCUGCAGUCAUCAGGGAAGCUGAUGUUUUUCACCCAGAAGUAUUAACUUCUUGGAAGAAACUGACUCAUUGUCAGCUUGAGAAAACUGAGAGCCGAACAAAGAGGAGGUCCAGCCAUCUAGUGGUAAGUGGCACUGCUGUGCAGCAUACUAAAGCCUUCUGCAGGCAUGCUCACAGGCAAAUGCUCUGUAGAAUGAGAAAGGGACAUUUCACCUAACUGUUCCCAAAUUUUCAUAGCUGCAGCACUCUAUUGUAGUAAAGUGUCUAGCAAAUGAGUAUAUUGGAGCUAGCAGCUAAGUUAGGAGAAGGGUUGCCAGAAGUAACCACAUCAAACAUAAUGUCAGCUUUUGCUAGACUGAAACAAGGAAGAUCCUAAUAGUCUGCAGUCAGCGUUAUCUUUCUCACUGCUGUAGCAACUAGAUAUUCAAAGAAUGUUCGCGCUAUAGAGGUACCUGAUUACAGCAGUAUGUCUAGAGGGUGUGCACAGCAGAAUGGUACAAUGCUCACGAGUCCCGCUUCACAUGGGGAAAAGAGAGUUGUAAGCCAAUUGGCUGUCAUGAAACAAGAAGGAAGCAAUCGAACAGUUACACAGAGAAAGCCAUAUGCUUACUUCAAACUAGGAUAAAACAGUUACCUACCAAAUUUUGUUGAGAGUGAACUGUUUCGUAUUUUCAGUACAGUUACAAACUCAGAAAAAGCUUGGCAAGGCCUGAAGACACAUCAGAGCAGAACACAUGGAAUACUCCAAGGGAAGAGUUGCCAGAGCUCUCAUUUCAGAAGUGAUCUGUGCUUAGAAGCCCACAUUCACUUGAAACCAGUCAGCUGCAAGUUCUGCAGGGCCUAAUAUGAAACUCACUUAGGCACAGAGAAUGGGCAUCCAGUGGGAUAACCUAUGCAUCCUGAACAUUACAAUGCCAUUUCUUUCAGUGUUUAUUGAAUUUCAGUAAAUGCUUAAAGCCAGGUAUCUGUUUACCCAAUUAUACAUGCAGGUACUUUACUUACCUGAUAUUUGUGAUGAAUCCUGCUUUACCACACUUUCAGGGCUGCCUGAAGCCACAGAUGUUAGAAGGUGAAGAAGGAGCAGAAAAGCCAUGAUUUCUACCUUUCUUUCUUACCCUCUAGGAAGUGGAGGUAGCGGGUGGGCUUUAAUGAACUUUCUUUGUUUCCAAAGAAGGGCAACAAAGCUAAUGAAGGGUCUGGAGCACAAGUCCUGUGAGGAGCGGCUGAGGGAGCUGGGAUU